rnacentral:rRNA from 1 species
AUCCUCCAAGGCUAAAUACUCCUGACUGACCGAUAGUGAACCAGUACCGUGAGGGAAAGGCGAAAAGAACCCCGGCGAGGGGAGUGAAAGAGAACCUGAAACCGUGUACGUACAAGCAGUGGGAGCCCCACCACCAAAGCGUUUCGCUUUGCGUGGUGCACAAAAUGCGUAACGACAUCACUGAUGCGCGGUUGGCGGAGCGACAGCGACGCCCAACACAAUCAUCAAGCAGUGGAGCGUUUUGGGGUGGGGUGACUGCGUACCUUUUGUAUAAUGGGUCAGCGACUUAUAUUCUGUAGCAAGGUUAACCGGAUAGGGGAGCCGCAGGGAAACCGAGUCUUAACUGGGCGAAAUGAGUUGCAGGGUAUAGACCCGAAACCCGGUGAGCUAGCCAUGGGCAGGUUGAAGGUUGGGUAACACUAACUGGAGGACCGAACCGACUAAUGUUGAAAAAUUAGCGGAUGACUUGUGGCUGGGGGUGAAAGGCCAAUCAAACCGGGAGAUAGCUGGUUCUCCCCGAAAGCUAUUUAGGUAGCGCCUCGUGAAUUCAUCUUCGGGGGUAGAGCACUGUUUCGGCUAGGGGGCCAUCCCGGCUUACCAACCCGAUGCAAACUGCGAAUACCGAAGAAUGGUAUCACGGGAGACACACGGCGGGUGCUAACGUCCGUCGUGAAGAGGGAAACAACCCAGACCGCCAGCUAAGGUCCCGAAGUCAUGGUUAAGUGGGAAACGAUGUGGGAAGGCCCAGACAGCCAGGAUGUUGGCUUAGAAGCAGCCAUCAUUGAAAGAAAGCGUAAUAGCUCACUGGUCGAGUCGGCCUGCGCGGAAGAUGUAACGGGGCUAAACCAUGCGCCGAAGCUGCGGCAGCGACAUGUAAGUGUCGUUGGGUAGGGGAGCGUUCUGUAAGCCGGUGAAGGCGGCGCCGUGAGGCCUGCUGGAGGUAUCAGAAGUGCGAAUGCUGACAUAAGUAACGAUAAAGCGGGUGAAAAACCCGCUCGCCGGAAGACCAAGGGUUCCUGUCCAACGUUAAUCGGGGCAGGGUGAGUCGACCCCUAAGGCGAGGCCGAAAGGCGUAGCUGAUGGGAAACAGGUUAAUAUUCCUGUACUGAA